rnacentral:rRNA from 1 species
GACGAACGCUGGCGGCGUGCUUAACACAUGCAAGUCGAACGGAAAGGUCCUGCUUUUGUGGGGUGCUCGAGUGGCGCACGGGUGAGUAACACGUGAGUAACCUGCACUUGUCUUUGGGAUAACAUCAGGAAACUGGGGCUCAUACCGGGUAGGAUCUACUGCUGCAUGGUGGGGGUUGGAAAGAUUCGGCGGUUGGGGAUGGAAUCGAUGCUUCUCGGCUUGUUGGUGUGGUAGUGGCUUACCAAGGCUGUGAGGGGUAGCCGGCCUGGGAGGGUGACCGGCGACAUGGGUACUGAGGUACGGCCCAGACGCCAACGGGAGGCAGCAGGGGGGAAUAUUGCAGAACGGGCGGAAGCCUGUGGCAGCAACGCCGGGUGCGGGAUGACGGGCUUUGGGUGGUAAACCGCUUUCUCCGGUGACGAAGCGGGAGUGACGGUAAUGGGUAAGGAAGCACCGGCUAACUACGUG